rnacentral:rRNA from 1 species
AUUGAACGCUGGCGGCAGGCCUAACACAUGCAAGUCGAGCGGGGUGAUGGUGCUUGCACUAUCACUUAGCGGCGGACGGGUGAGUAAUGCUUAGGAAUCAGCCUAUUAGUGGGGGACAACAUCUCGAAAGGGAUGCUAAUACCGCAUACGUCCUACGGGAGAAAGCAGGGGAUCACUUGUGACCUUGCGCUAAUAGAUGAGCAUAAGUCGGAUUAGCUAGUUGGUGGGUAAAGGCCUACCAAGGCGACGAUCUGUAGCGGGUCUGAGAGGAUGAGCCGCCACGCUGGGACUGAGACACGGCCCAGACUCCUACGGGAGGCAGCAGUGGGGAAUAUUGGACAAUGGGGGGAACCCUGAUCCAGCCAUGCCGCGUGUGUGAAGAAGGCCUUAUGGUUGUAAAGCACUUUAAGCGAGGAGGAGGCUCUUUUGGUUAAUACCCAAGAUGAGUGGACGUUACUCGCAGAAUAAGCACCGGCUAACUCUGUGCCAGCAGCCGCCGUAA